rnacentral:lncRNA from 1 species
GUAAAAGGCUUUUUUGUUAAAUAAAAUAAAAUUUAUUAUUUUCUUCUGAUGAAUAGAGGCUCUUUUAUGCUGCUGCUAAUGAACCUAAUUAGCUUUAAAUUAUCUCCUAGCAACAUUGGUCACGUUUCAAUCAUGCUAUUAGCAAAAAAGAAAAAAAAAAGAAAAAAAACUUUUUAAAAGUACACCAGAAUACUAUUAUUUUUGUAGUUAACAAAAAUGUUUCUCAAAGUAUUUUGUGCUAAGUAGAAACAAAGUCUUUUUGAUGGUGUUGGCAAAAUAUGACUGAAAAAUGAAGGUAGGAGACUACAGUGACAUAAAUUAUUAAAUAGUCUAUGUGGAGAUGUUACAAAUUAUUCUAGGAAAUAUUAUAUCUUGUCAGGAAGUUUCGAGCUUACUUAGUGUUUUCCUAUAUAAGAUGCUAUUUUAACUCCAGAGACUUUUUUCUCUAGAAUAUCAAGACAGACAGACAGACAACUCCAGUGUCACAUACAUGGGUUUCAGAAAUUCUCAAAAUAAUGUGAGGUUAAUGUCACGAUGACAUCCCUGUUUCAACAUAAAUCAGUAGAAAAAGGAAUUCUUGAAAUUUCUAGAAAAGCACAGACUUCCCCACAUAUGCAUAUCAUCAAUUUAUUUCUUGUUUCAUGCUUGUGCUGCCAAACCUGAGCACAUCUGAAAUUUUACAACUCUACCUGGAUUAACAUAGACAGUAGUCAGAAGACGCCCUGAGAUUUCCUGUGUGCUGUGGUCAGAUCUCAUGUUGCCUAGUCUAUAGAGCUAAAAGUGGAAUUUGGAGAUGAUGGUGAUGAUGGUGGUGGUGGUGAUGCUGAUGCUGAUGAUGAUGCUGAUGAUUUGGUCCUUUGAUUAUAGUGUGACACUUCCAGCAAAUCACUGCCAUGGCACAAAAAGUACUGUGACUGAUGGUUCACAGUUCCCAAAGCUGACAUGCUGUUUGUAAAAACUGUUGCUUGGUGCUGUGAACUGGAUGCGUUGUAUACCAUCUGCAUGUCUCCAACAUGUUCCUCCUUUGAUUUUCCUUCCCAGAUGGGUCUGUAGUUGUGAUUUAACAUAAUUUGAGACUUCUGGCUGUUACUCAAGCUCUCUUUAGAGGAAUCCACAUCUAACAGAAGUGGGUGGCUUAUUCACAUCAAGAUGCUUCCUACCUGAGCAAGCAUGGCUUUCUCUUUGUCCCCCAGAGAUUUGCCAUAAUGCCCUUACCUACCCCCGCCACCAAAACCAAAACCCAACAUGACUAAACAUGUUCUAAAAUGUGCUAGCAUAUGAAUUAGGAUAAUUCAGUAUGUCAGUAUAUUUAGCUACAUAAAUUGUAAAGCGAAGCUCAGUUCUUUUUGUUUCGUAAUGGUGGAUAAUAAUAUCUCAACCUUCCAUCAAGAUCCAAGCACAAAAGUAACCAUCAACUCCUUGUAGACUUGUAGAUUAACCACAUGGAAUCUGAAAGCAGUGUCGAAGACUCUCUGUGUGGCGAGCAUUGUGUAACUGCUGGUAGAAGGGAUGAAUCUUAUAUUAUGCUAUUAAAUUCCAGUUCAUUGAUAGCCAUUAAAGAGAGGUAGUCUGAAUACUGGUGCUAGGUAGUGGUAGACUUUCAGUUAGGAGUUUUAGGAUGCCACAUGCUUCUAGGCUCUAAGAGAGAUACCAGCUUGCCUGAUUUUAUUUUCUGUAUUUUUUGUUUGUUUGUUUGACAUCACUGGACAAUGUAACAGAACAAUAAAACUCAGAAAUAGUUUCUUUCCAAAUCUGAAGGAAAAUACAUAUCCAAGUUCAUCAUCCACAGUGCUCCAUGCAAAAGAGGAGGACUCUGUAGACAAAAGUAGAGCUGCUUGUUUUUUAAACUCCCAGCCAAAAGAGAAGGCAGAGCAUGAGUUUCAAGACAGAUUUUACUGUACAUGUACAUUUAAACCUAGUAAAUGUGUGGACUUUCAACAGAUACCCAAGACCGUUGUUCCCUGAGAACUUUCUUUGCAUGGAAUACUGAAUUGGGCCAUAAAUCAGACUCAUUUCUGCUUGAACAUUUUUACUUGCUUCC